GUGGGGAAUAUUGCACAAUGGGGGAAACCCUGAUGCAGCCAUGCCGCGUGUGUGAAGAAGGCCUUCGGGUUGUAAAGCACUUUCAGCGAGGAGGAAAGGUCAGUAGCUAAUAUCUGCUGGCUGUGACGUUACUCGCAGAAGAAGCACCGGCUAACUCCGUGCCAGCAGCCGCGGUAAUACGGAGGGUGCAAGCGUUAAUCGGAAUUACUGGGCGUAAAGCGCACGCAGGCGGUUGGAUAAGUUAGAUGUGAAAGCCCCGGGCUCAACCUGGGAAUUGCAUUUAAAACUGUCCAGCUAGAGUCUUGUAGAGGGGGGUAGAAUUCCAGGGGUAGCGGUGAAAUGCGUAGAGAUCUGGAGGAAUACCGGUGGCGAAGGCGGCCCCCUGGACAAAGACUGACGCUCAGGUGCGAAAGCGUGGGGAGCAAACAGGAUUAGAAACCCUAGUAGUCC
rnacentral:rRNA from 1 species